CAGCCAUGUUCUGCAUUGACUGACACUUCACGGACGAAUAAAAUAUAAGAGGCAGAACAUCAUUGCAAAACCCCGCCCUAGCAAAGAGCCCCUGCAUCCUCGCCCCGGAAAACCCCGUGUUAUGGUUGUGUGUCAGUUUCGCUGGGACCCGCGGUCGAUGCCGGUGAGGAGGGGGAUGGGCGCCACUGCGAAUGUUAGGACCCGAGACAGAAUCAGAGCCCUGUAUCACAUAGAGCAGCAUCUACCCCUUUAUAAAUAUCGAUUGUAAAUAAUAUAAAACACCAUAAUAAAUGGAUUAAACCACCGGGGAUUCAACAUAGACACUCGAUGGAAAUACGGUGCCCAAGCAGGACAGGGAAUUAAACGUUCAACCUUUGCGUGGGGGACAUUGAGAAGUUGUUUCCUAACCCGGGAGAGGGAGCUACGUUGGGGAGGGUAAAGGAAGCAGGAGACUCCGAGGCCGAGUUGGAGGCCUACUGGUCUGGUUCGAUUUGAUGUCGGAAUACUCGAAGAUCUACAGACAACAUAAGAGGAUACUUUGUUUGUACUGGGUUGGAAUGUCUCACUAGCCUCCCCCAUCUACCAACCCCAACCUCUGUGGCGGAGAAGAGAAAUGGGUGAGAGAGAGAGAGAGAGAGAGAGAGAGACAGGAUGCUGGCCUGUUUCCAACAGAGGAAGACGGGAUCCCAGCUCUGUCGUUCAGACAGCUUUAGGGCAGGGGCUGGCUGUUAGGAAGAGACGAAAGAGGGGGAGGCUUUUUCUUUCCUUUUUUUUUUUU
ensembl:lncRNA